rnacentral:rRNA from 1 species
UACGUAGGGUGCGAGCGUUGUCCGGAAUUAUUGGGCGUAAAGAGCUCGUAGGCGGUCUGUCGCGUUGGCUGUGAAAACCCGGAGCUCAACUCCGGGCCUGCAGUCGAUACGGGCAUCACUGGAGUUCGGCAGGGGAGACUGGAAUUCCUGGUGUAGCGGUGAAAUGCGCAGAUAUCAGGAGGAACACCGGUGGCGAAGGCGGCCUUCUGGACAGUGACUGACGCUGAGACGCGAAAGCGUGGGGAGCAAACAGG